ACCUACGGGGCGCAGCAGUGAGGAAUAUUGGUCAAUGGGCGCGAGCCUGAACCAGCCAAGUCGCGUGAGGGAAGACGGCCCUAUGGAUUGUAAACCUCUUUUGUCGGGGAGCGAAAGACGCCACGCGUGGCGUUCCGAGAGUACCCGAAGAAAAAGCAUCGGCUAACUCCGUGCCAGCAGCCGCGGUAAUACGGAGGAUGCGAGCGUUAUCCGGAUUUAUUGGGUUUAAAGGGUGCGCAGGCGGAAGAUCAAGUCAGCGGUAAAAUUGAGAGGCUCAACCUCUUCGAGCCGUUGAAACUGGUUUU
rnacentral:rRNA from 1 species